GGAGAGGUGGCCGAGCGGCUGAAGGCACUCGCCUGCUAAGCGAGUGAGCUGGGAGACCGGCUCCGAGGGUUCGAAUCCCUCCCUCUCCG
rnacentral:tRNA from 1 species